rnacentral:snoRNA from 1 species
AACUAGAGUGAUGAAAAAGUAUCCUUAGGCGUGGUGUUAUGGCCGUCUUGGUCAACUGUUUGCCACUUGCCAAUGCAAGGACUUGUCAUAGUUACACUGACUGUUA